AGCACGAUGGCCGAGUGGUUAAGGCGUUGGACUUAAGUUCCAAUGGACAAGUGCGUUCGAACCCCACUCGUGCUA
rfam:Octopus bimaculoides Scaffold285473_contig_1, whole genome shotgun sequence.